CUAUGAAUCGCAUUGGAUGGACUUAUUAAAUGCGGAAAAGUGACCAGCCCGCUGUGCUUUUUAACCUUGUGAAGACUCACUAUAGCCGUUAUCGCUCUUUGGUAACUCUAACCCCAGAACACAUACAUGCUUUUAAAUCACACGAGAGUCUUUUUAAAAUGAUCUCAGCGAUGGUGCAUUAAAGUGCUCUGAGGUUGAGCCCUGAAAAGUACCAUAAAGAGUUUGUUUUGAUUGGCGUUUGAUCAUAGUCUCUGAGCCUUGUGAAGGAUGGGGCCUUACAGAACAGCUCACUGUUUGGGAGUUGGCAGCCGACCCAAAACCAAAAUUGUAUCCUCAAAUGAACUUUAAUGCAAUGUACAACACAAAACAUGCUCCAAGUCCCGACUCCCUGCUCGCAGGUCCUGUAGUAAACAAGCAAGUAAAUGAACGCCUGAGAAUCAGCAUCAGAAAAUGAGAAAUAAAACAGAUAAUGUGUUAUAAGAAAUGAGAAGCGCGAUUUUUCGUGUGAGGUGCGCCGCUUUCGUGAUUGGCUGACAGACGUGGCGCAAUGUGACGUCGGCGCGUCAUACCUUGUGCCAGAGCGCGCGACCUGUUGCCAUUAGGGAAUCGGACUCGAUAAAAAGGGGGUGAGAACUUGGAAUUUGAUUUAGCUGUAACGGUUUUAUAUGGGUGGGACUCGGCCCAGAUUUGGUGUUGAAUUGAGGGUGUGGUGUGCGGUAUGUAGAAACUAAGUAUGAGUGUGUGAGAGUGUGUGUGUGUGUGUGUGUAAUGAGAGGUCAGUACCAUGAGGGAGCCAGAAAGAGGAGGCCGAGAACAAGGCAAGGAAAUCUGGGCGGACCGGGUGCUUUCGGUCCCUCCUCCACGUCAGUGUGUGUGUGUGUGUGGAUCUGCGUGUGACAGCCUGAUGAGCAGCAGCACCCUCUAUGCAGCCAUGUUCGCUGGUCGCCGAGCAUGCUUUUAUCAACUCUUUAGUUCGCUAAACGCAGAAAAGGUUCGUGAUACACUCCGAGGAACAGAAGCAGGCGCAGGCCCCACACUAGCACUUUUUGGUAUGUGUUUUUGUAUUCUCUUUGAGCUUGUUCGCUGUAGAGAGAUCAUCUGUUUGAACUUGUAUUUAAUUGCCGCAUUGAUUAACCACAAAAAAAGUUUUGCAAUCGACAGUACUGGUAUGUUUACAAGAGAGCGCAAACAAAGGACUGUUGGCAAAAGAAAAAAAAAAAAACAGAAUAACGAAAUCUUGAAUCAUUUUUAUUAUUUUUUUGCAUCGGACUUCCUCACAAGUUAUUGAGUUCUGGUUUAAAAAGGAGGCGUAACCGAGGUGCACCCACAAAAGAUCGAAACUUGAUUGGUGGAAUGCUCCACUAAUUAUUCCGGCACCAGGCGGAUUCUCAGGUAGGCCGUGGCUGCAGAGUGUGUGUACAUGAACGUGUGUGUGUGUGUGUGUGUGUGCGGUCACUGCAGAUGAAAUCUCUCUGCAAAUUGCGACAGAUGUUUCACCUCCAGACUGUCUCACCCAUAUGCCUGACGCGUCUCCGGAUUGUGGGAUGUACAAAGACACCCCAACAUUUGCACACUACACUUUGCAUCAUGGUAUGGUCAUCUUUGAACUGCUGACUCUUUUAACGUUUUCUCAUUUGUGAUUGCUUGUAUAGCCAUUCAGUGCUUUCGAGCCAAAGAACAGCUUCAAGGAUCGAGUUUGGUCUUGGCGGUGGAGCGCCUGCGCGUUUGGUAAAUUGUGUUUGAAUGGUUUGUAACGGGUGUGAGCGUAUGUUUGUGUGCACUCUCCGGGUGAACCGGAGUCUGUGUCACGCUUCCCUCCUCUCUUCAGCUCUCCCUCCCUCUCUCCCUCCCUCCCUACUCGAGCUCUCGCUCACUGGCUGGAGCGGUGAUUCAAAAAAAAGAAUAAUUGCUCACGUACUCCACUGCCUCUCGGUUUCAUCAUCAACUUUUUUCCUCCACUUCAGUUUUCCCUCUCUCCUCUCCUCUUCUCUAAUUCCCUCCCCUUCUCUCUCAUUCUCUCUCUCUCUGUGCAGAUAGAAACGGAAAAAAAAGCCUCUCCCGCUGUUUCUACAGUUCAGUCUCCUCCCCUUCACCCAGUCUGUGCCAAGAGAAGGAGGGAUUUCUGCUACUCACAGGAUUUUAACCCUGUAGCGCAACCGAUUGGCUCAAGCUGGUUCUCUGCCACUUCAGUUUUUCCAGCAUGUCUUUUCCACAACUUCCCUAAACCUCGUUGGCAUGUUCUUCUGCAUUUUUAUAAGCUCGAGACGCUUUCAAUCGGAACAUUUAUGGCAGGCGGAGGUGUGUGGCAUUUCUCUUCCUCACCAGGGGUUAACGGAUCCUUUCCGUUGCUGAGCUUUGAAAAUGGCUGUAUUCUCCCUGCUUGUUGCGUGUCUCGGAGAAGGGAGGCGCCUGGAGUUCUAUCACUUUAGCACCACCCUUUCUCUCUCUCUCUUUGCCCUCCCUCUCUCACACACACACACAUACAGUUCUUCUUUCUCCCUCUCUCUCUCUCUCUCUCUGAAAGGGGAGCGGGAGGGCGGUGCGGUGUCGGAGCUUUUUCUGGGACAGGUGCCAAUUCCAAACAAAAGACAUAAAAAGGCAAUGAGUGAAGGAUGCCUCGAUCGUAAGAAAGAAAUAUGUUACACGAUGAAACGCAAGAAGUUUGUGCCGACCGUGUGCGCGUGUGGUUGUGUGCAUUCGACUAAAUACAAAUGUUUGAAGCUAAGAUUUGAAAUAGUUUUCUUCUCUAUCUCUCUCACAACACUCUCUCGCUUCUCUGCCGCUCUUCAGCCACUGAAGGCAUUUCAGUCAUGGGGGGGUGGGGUGGAAAGGGGAGGGGGCUCGGUUUUCAAGCUCCUGAAUUAUUCAUACGCCUGGGCCAAUGCUGCGAUCGGACUGGCUGGGACAUUAACAUGCAGCGGACAUUCUAUUUGUCUGUUUGCUAACAUUCCUCAUUCAAAGACUUGUUAACUGCAAGACGGGCCGACACACGCGUCUCUCGGGUUGCUAUAGUGGCCAGGGCCCGGUCGUCCCAGACCAGGGGACAGCAGGCUGACUCGUAGCCCGGUGCUGGGGACACGCAGCUGGGGUGGGGGGAUUGUCUUGGCCCCCCGGCCUACCUCCUUCAGUCCUUGUGCCUGCUGUGGAAAGCUCACUGCCUCCUCUUCUCCUUCUCUCUCUGUCUCUCUCUCUCUCUCUCUCUCACUCUCCUUCAACACAGGGCUGGUGAAGUGAGCAGAAGAGGCCUUCAGCACUUGUCCAGGAAUGUUUCUAUCUACAGGCACACGUCAGUGUUAUCGGAUGGCAAACCCAGAAGCUGACUGUCUACCUUUCUCCUGUUGGUGAGCUCGGUGAUUUUGAAGGAUCUCUGACUGAAGCUUUGGAGAUAGAAGUGAUAAAGAGACCACAAAUAUACACAUUUUAGCUGCAUGAGGAUUACAUACAGCACAGGUUUGUCAUAUUUUAAAUGGGAAUAAAACAGUUUGAUAUUUUAAAGAUUGCCUGUUUUUUUAUUCUUUGCCUCAAGCACGUUAUUGACGU